CCCCCAGCGCUCCCCAGAAUUGCCAGAUCGGUGAGGAUGGGAGGAUGUGGGGGUUGAGUCAUCGUCACUUCAACAAUGUAAAUUCUUUUCUGAAGACAAGUCACAAAGGUUACUUAGAAGGCUUUUGAAGAGGGAAGCUCAGUGGAUGAAAAGACUCUGUGCACGUGCCCUCACAGCAUCUCCCAGCUCAAAUCUUUGCGGGAAAUGAACACAUGAACAGGCUGCGGGACCUGGCUGUGCUGGGCGGCCCCAGGGCUCCAGGGGAGGCCAGCAGUGCACGCCAGGACUCUGCCUCACCAAAGCCGGGCUGGACUGGACCACUACCACCAUGGAAGUCUCCAAGAUACGGGGAACAGGCGGGAGAAAAGCCCCAAUGAACAAGGGACCACACUUCCGCUUCCUGCCUGGGGUCGGAAAGGGCGGAGCUUUGAGGCUCAGGCUGUCAGUCAAGAUGGACUGCUUCAGAGUGAGAAAUUCUACGAACAACCGCAUGGUUGAAGAUUGGCUGAGGUUGACUCAUUGCAGGGCUGGAGGCAGAAACAGCCCUCGACAAUGUUGAAUCUAGAACCAGAGCUCUAGGCAGGGCUACGGGUGGAGGGCAGGGCCCUCAACCAGGGUGGUUGGACCUGGGAGUAUUCAUCAGUUUUUCUACCUGCUUCCCCCUCGCCUUCCUAGAGCCCUUAGAAAGGUUCUCCCAUGAUAUGCCAGCCAAUCCAUGAAAUGGUCUAUUUCCUCCGUUCAAUUAAUCCCAUCCUUAAAGUCUUUAUUCCCUUCUCUUUUUAUGAAUGUUGGACACCAUGCUAAACUCUACUGAUUCUUUUGCAUUUUUAAUGUAACAUUUUCUAUAAACUUUUAGUUUUUCUCUUUUUCAAAUAACUGUUUUCACUUUUCUGAUUUUACCAUAUGGUCCAAGGCCUCCAUACUAGGGAAUGAAAUAGCACCCAGACCAGAAAUUCUUCACUUAGGAUGGGUUCUAAAGUUUCUCUGGUAACCAUGUUUGCCGUGGACCUCAGUGGGUGGCCAGAGCAGUUAAUAAAGAUCUAAAUCCUGAUUUACUAAAACAUUUUAUCAAGAAUUGUUUAUGGACAUUAUCAUAUGUAUUUUAUGAAUCUAUUGAAUUGAUAACUAUUUUGCUAGGUUAAUGUUUAAUCUGUUGUGGUACAAAAUAUUAAAUGUCUACGUAACCAAAGGAGUCUGUUUUUUAAAAAUAAUUUCUGGAUUUUCUCUCUUGCUCUCUCUUGGAACCCUAUAUUAUAUGCAGGUUUCAUCAUUUUCUUCUGGGAUUUACUUUUUUUUUUUUUUUUUUUAAGAUUUUUAUUUCCUCCUUCUCCCCAAAGCCCCCCAGUACAUAGUUGUAUCUUCUAGUUGUGGGUCCUUCUAGUUGUGGCACGUGGGACGCCGCCUCAGCAUGACAUGAGGAGUGGUGCUAGGUCUGCGCCCUGGAUCCAAACCAGUGAAACCCUGGGACCCUGAAGUGGAGUGUGUGAACUUAACCACUCGGCCACGGGGCUGGCCCCUGGAAUUUACUACUUCUAAAGACAUUAAAAUCUUCAAUCCUCAUACAAUGUAACUUGGCCUCUGGUAUGAGGUACUGGAUCCAACUUUUUCUUCUCUAAAGGCCAACUGCAGCGGUAGUACUCGACCUACUGAUUUGAAAUCCCAC
ensembl:lncRNA